CGGGGAGGAGGCUGGGGAAUUGGAUUUGGAGGGGGAGGAGACUCUUCAGUUAGCGCACCCGUUUUCCUGUUCUGCUUAGCUGGUGAAGAAAGAGAGGAAGGAAGAAAGAAAGAAAAAAAGAAAGGAAAAAAAAGAAAGGAAGGAAGGAAGGAAGAAAGAAAGAAAGAAAGAAAGAAAGAAAGAAAGAAAGAAAGAAAGGAAGGAAGAAAAGAAAGAAUUGUUGCCAGGAUCUACAUAUGAGAGCAUGUAGUCUUUGACUUUAUUAGCCUGGUGACCUCUCUCAGUACUUUUUCUGGUUCCAUUCAUUUAUAUGCAAAUUUCAUUUUUUAAUAGCUGAGUAAUAGAUCAUUGUGUAUAUGUAUGACAUCUUUCUUAUUCAUCCAUCUGGACUGAUUCCCAACUAUUGAUAGUUGGGUUACAGUGAACAUGGAUGUGCAAGUAUCUCUGUGGUAGUGUAGAGAAUGCUUUGCAUACAUGCUCAGGAGCAGAUUUCUGUUUCCAGUUUUUUGAGAAAGCUCCAAACUGGCUUCCCAGUGGCUACACUACUUUGCCCUCCAGCUAACAUUGUAUAAGAGUUUUCAUUUUCUGAGGUCCAUGCCAGUAUUUGUUGUUAUUUGUAUUCUUGAUGAUUGGAAUAUGAUGGAAUUUUAAUAGUUUAAAUCUAUAUUCUUUGGUAGUCUAAGAUAUUACAUAGCUUUUGAACUGUUUACUAGCCAUUUGUAUUUUUUGUUUAAAUAACUUUACACGUAGUCCAUUUUUAAUUACCUUGUUCAUUUUCUGGCAUUUAGUUUUAUGAGUUCUUUGUAUAUUCUAGAUGCUAAUCUUUUGUCUGGCACAUAGCUCGCAAAGAUUUUAGUUGUCAAGAAACUUUUAAUUUUAAUGAGGUACCAUUUGUCAAUGAUUGGCCUUAUUUUUUGGGCUACAUAAGCCCUAUUUUAAAUAAGUCAGUUCUUAACAUAUGAACUGAAGGAUCCUCUGCACCUUAUCCUUUAACAGUUGAAGACAGUCGAGUCUUAUAGUGAGGUCCGUGAUCAAUUUCAAAGCAACUUUGUAUAGUAUAAGAUAUGAAGGUCUGCUAUCCUUUUUCUUCAUGCUGAAAUUUAGUUUUACCAGCACCGUAUGCUGAAGAUGCUGUCUUUUUCUCCAGUGUAUGUUAUUGGCAUCUUUGUCAAGAACCAGGUGUUUUCUAGGCUGAGCAUAGUGUACUGGCAGAGAGAGACCCAUGUGAGUUCUAAAGAUAUUCAAACUCUCUUUCCACGAGCAAUGGACAGGCCAUAGGCCGAUCAUCUGGAGAGCUAGAAUGGAGCCGAAAAGUCUUGCCCCCUGACCCCAGUUCUAUGCGGCAGUGCUCGGUAAACAACCCUGCUUGUGUUCUAGGUCUAAACAUUUACUAUCUUAUUGCUCCUGUCGUUUCUUAAGAUAUGCUCAUGUUGCUAGCAAACAAGAAUAUAGUUUUAUAGUUUCUUUUCAUUCAAUGAUAUGAUGUUAUUGAGAACCAAGGAUUGCCAAGCAAAGGAAAAUCACACAAAGUUCAUGGAGUGAACACCAACUACAUCCCUAGCCCCACUCCCGUUUUUCAGAUGAACAAAUACAGGCAUAAGAGAAUUAAUUAAUGGAUUCAGAAUCUUUCAGUCCGUGUUUUUUCACAUAAUACUACCUUAGCCAGUAUUAUUUCAGGAACAUCUGGGCUUUCUCGUUUCACAUCUAGAACUCUGGGCAGUAAUUAGUGAACCUUAUAGAUGUGUGGAGGAGAAACAGAUCCAGGAGGGAUGCAGAUGUGAUACCCUAACAACUGAGGUGGGAUGCCCAUUCUGGUCUUUUGAAAGUGCCUGUUAGUGAUGACAGCGCCCGGUAGGAAGAGUACACAUCAAAGAUGCUUCUCAUUAGGCGCUGAAGCAAGUGCAUAAUUUUCAUGUGACUGGCACCAGAAUUGCCACAAAGUGAUGGCUGAAAUAAGUACUUAAUUUCUCAUGAUUUUGGAGGUCAGAAAUCUACAAGUUGGAUCUUGAAAAGGAUACCCCAUCACCACGACCAGCAAAGCCGUUAAGGACAGUUCUUUCCCUGUUUUUACAUUUCUGGGACAUCACAGGCAACAGGUGGAAGAAGGAGAGGCUGUUUGGGAGAUGACAAGAAUUGCCGUAUGUAAGUCACCUGAAAGCACCCAUCCAGAAUCUACCAGGAUUAUUCAUGUCCUCCCACACCACCUGCAUCUUGCAAUGUCAGAGCUUUAACACGAGCAGUGAAUACAUUUCUUCCUCUAAAUGCCAAGGAUCUCAACAGCAAGGAUGUUUCCAGCCAGUUCGACUUCCUAUUAUCUUGAUAAAGAUGCAUUUGUUUUUAUCUUGUAAGCUCGUCGGAGUGGAGGAUUCAUAUAAGAAUCUUUCCUGACCACGAACAAGGCCCACUUAGAGAUAGGCGUCCAUGAAUCUGUGUUAAUGGUUUCGGUGACAGCAAGCUCAAGAUCAAAACCAGUGGGGCUGAGAUGGUAAUCAGGCUGAUGGGAGCACGGUCUGUGAGCGCGGCACUGCGAUGAAUCUCAUCAGCCUUCUGACGAGAAACAGCCCUGCAGCUGCCCUCCUGGAGCAUGAGGAAUGGGCCUUUGAAGCCCAGACUGUCUUCUCCUGGAAGUUUUUAAUCACAGACCCAACCCGACCUAGGGUGUCACGUGUAGGUGGUUCUCAUUCUAUUUUCACAGUCAAGAUGCUUUCUUAUCCUUAGAGCCUUAUCACUGUGGAAUUUUCCAUGAAUCUUGGAGACCACCUUUACCUCCAGUGUGGAAUUUUCCUUUCCGAAGGACAUAACAAUAGCAGGACUUCUUCUGAUGUGUCUUCCAUAUGUAUAUUUGGAAAGAUAAGGUGUCUCCCUGUAGAUAUAAAUUUCAAACAGUAAGUGACUGGAACUUUUAGUGAUCUGUCUGUUAAUUUGAUCAACAAUAGCAACAUAAACAAGCAUCUUAACCCAAUGUGAGAGAUGGCUGCGUUUCUUUUACACUAAUGUGUUUACUCAGGUAAGUCUCUACCGGUUUAAUGAGUUCAUGUGCAAUUUUUUGUUAUUGUAUUUCUAGUAUAUCCGUAAGGUUUAUCAUCUUCAUAAACUUACUGCAAACUCACCACUGUCUAUUAUUUCCUAUAAUCCCCACAGAUGUUAGGUUCCUGACCUCAGCUCUGGAAGCAUGAACAUAAUUUUGGUCUUUGUGGUUUUGUCUCUUUGGUGCAUUUCCUGUUUAUGGACUCAGGAUUUGAACUCUAGGGUCUGGCCGUUUAUUUUACUCCUCCCUUUCCAUUGCUUUUCUUCUCCUUUUCCUUCUUCCACCUUCUCCUUUGUAUCCUCCUCCUUCUCUUCCUCCUCCUCCAUUGCUUUGUUUCAUGAGGUCCUUGCUAAGUAGCCUUGGCUGGCCUUAAAUUCACUAGCCUCCUGACUCAGCACCUAAGCCAUCAGAUUACACGGGCAUGUGCAUGCCACCCACCACACCCAGAUGUGGAGUUUCUUUUCUUCAACUUAACCUCGUAGUUGCAAAAUUUAUCCCACGUUGGAACAUGCAUCAUAACCCAAUUUCUUAGUGUGGUUGAAUAAUAUUCUAUGUUCUCUAUACACAUCAUGGCUUUAUCCAUUCAUAAGUGGAUGGACAAUUGAGUGUUAUAGUUUUGGCACAGGAAACAUUAGCAUUCAUUUAAUAAAAGUAUCUAAAUUAUGUACAAGAAAGCUCACUAGUAAUACAUAUAUACACAUACACAUGUGUGUGUAUGUGUGUGAAUAAUGAAUGAGGAGAAUGCAUGGUAAAAUGAAAAAAAAUGCAUAUGAUCAGUAAAUUUAGAAAGCCCCAGGCCAAUUAACAGUUAGAAACAUAUUUAGAAAUGGCCCCAGGGAUACUUGAACAGGCGUCCGCUACAACUACAGUCCGGCUCUCUUCACUUCUCCCCUUUUAUCCUCUGACUGGCCAUGGCAUCACGUCAUCCUUUCUCCUCUCAAUGGUGUGGAACACCAUGUUCUUCCUCUUCAAAUGUCCUAUGUUUAAGUAGAAACACUCCCCCUACCCCCGCCCUGGGAAGUAUUCCUCUGAGCUGAAAUUAGCUUGAGCAAGCUGUACCACAUGGUGUCUUAUCCUCAGUGGGGCACAUGUGUUUAAAAAAGUCUGUGUAGGUGUUUCUCCAAAUGUAUGAGUAACACAGGUAUCCAGACACAAUGUGUGUUUUCAGAAUUGCAGCUGGUUAAAUAGUUGAUGUAAGCAAUCUUUCAGAAUAGCAACACGGCUAACACAGCCGUUCAUUUCAGUUCUCAUGGACUGCAAUGGAAUGGGAUUUUGGCAACUGGACUUGGAAUAACAAGAGCGGGGAGUGCUUGUUGGCUUCUGAAACAUUCGAGGCAAAAAUAUUUCCUCCACAGCCUCCUCUGUCAUUCUGUGUUCCAAGAGAUCCUCAUUUUAACCACACUUAAUUGCCCUUCAGUAUCAAAAUUAAUUGUGUUCUUUGCUAAAAGGCCAGUGCAGCAUAAGGUUACUCUAGGGUCCCAACAGCCAAUGCAUCUUCUGGAAAUGGCUUGAUUGCUGUCUGCGCAGAGAAUGGCUGGGAAAGACGCGCUUGACCGAGGCUAUACAUUACAGUCCAAUUAGUGUGAAGAUCACUACAUGAGUCUUUAACUUUAUCUAGGAACUGUUGGACUCUCUAAUGGAGACCACAGAGAGAGUGGAGAGGAAUGUAGAAUUCACUGUCUGUGACAAGCAGAGGGGGAAUGGCCUUGGCAGUGGUUCAAGAGGCCACCGGAGUGGCUUCUUUCAGACUUCCUGUCUCCAAACUCCACCAUUCCCAUCACCAUCUGAGUAAAGUAUAUAAACCAAGGCCAGAGCCUUGAGAAUAUAUCUUCGGAUGUAGUGUACUGUAUUCAGCUAUGGCUCCCAGCAAGGGCUAUUGAGCCAAGAUGGUGGUUGGAAUUCCAGCUGACUUAACAUUAGUAAUCAACAUUUGAUUUGUAGGCUCAUCAAUGACAAGAAGGAUAAACUGCUUCCAAUUCAAAGAAUAAUGUUACUAUUUUUUUUUAAAAGAAAACAAACUAUCUUUUCCCGUUUUACAUAACAAUCCCAGUUCCCACUCCUUCUGCUCCUUCCAUUUCCUCCACCUUUCCCUCUACCCCCCCGCCCAUCCAGUCCCCAGAGAGGGCAAGGCACAUUGCUCCAAGGAAGAACCAAGGCCAUCCCCACUAUAUCCAGGCUGAGCAGGUAUCCCUCCAAAUAGAACGGGUUCCAAAAUGCCAGUACAAGCAUCAGGGACAAAUCCUGGAGCCACUGCCCCUACCCCGCUGUCUGCCCCAGCCACACAACUGUCAUAUACAUUCAGAGGACCUAGCUUCAUCCUAUGCUGGUUUCUUCCCUGUCCAUCAAGAGUUGGUGAGCUCCCAUUAGCUCAAGUAAGCUGUUUCAGCGGGUGUCCCCAUCAUGGUCUUGACCUCUUUGCUCAUAUUCUCACUCCUCUCACUCUUCAACCAGACUUUAGAAGCUCACCUCAGGGUUCCACUGUAGAUGUCUGACCUGUUUCCAUCAGGUGCUGGAUGAAGGCUCUAUGGUGACUAAAUUUUACAUUUUCCAAUUUUGUGGAGUACAGGUUUUUGAAGUAAGAGCUAGUGAUUCUUUCAAUUUUCUCGGUGUCUCUUGUUAUGUCCCCCUUUUCAUUUCUGGUUUUGUUAAUUUGGAUGUUCUCUCUCUGCCUUUUGAUUAAUUUGGGUAAGGGUUUGUCUAUCUUGUUGAUUUUCUCAAAGAACAAGCGCUUUGUUUCAUUGUCUUUGUAUUGUUUUCUUUGUUUCUAUUUUAUUGAUUUAAGCCCUUGAUUUGAUUAUUUCCUGUUAUCUACUCCUCUUGGGUGAAUAUGGGGUUUUUGUUGUUGUUGUUGUUGUUGUUGUUGCUGUUGUUCUAGAGGUUUCAGGUGUGCUAAUAAGUUGCUAGUGUGAUAUUUCUCCUCUUUCUUUACGAGGGCACUUAGUGCUAUGAACUUUCCUCUUAGUAUUGCUUUCAUAGUAUCCCAUUGGUUUGGGUUCAUUGUGCCUUCAUUUUUGUUGAAUUUUAGGAAGUUUUUUAUUUUCUUUUUAUUUCUUUCUUGACCCAGGGGUGGAUCAAUUGAGCACUGUUCAAUUUCCUUAAGUUUGUAGGCUAUCUGCAAUUAGUGUUGUUGUUAAAUUCUAACUUUAAACCAUAGUGAUUCUAUAAGAUACAGGGGGAUACUCCAAUCUUUUUGUAUUUGUUGAUGUUUGCUCUGUUACUGAGUAUGUGGUCAAUUUUAGAGAAGGUUCCAUGGGGUGCUGAGAAGAAGGUGUAUUCUUUUGCAUUUGGGUGAAAUGCUCUGUAGAUGUCUGUCAAGUCCAUUUGAGUCACAGAUCUGUAAAUUCUCUUAUUCCUCUGUUAAGUGUCUGUCUAGUUGAUCUGUCCAUUGGGGAAAGUGGGGUCUUGAAGUUUCCUGCUGUUAGUGUGUGAGGUUUGAUGUGUGAUUUAAGCUUUAGUAAUGUUUCUUUUAUAUAUGUGGGUCCUCUUGUAUUUGGAGCAUUGAUGUUCAGGAUUGAUACUUUAUCUUGAUGGAUUGUUCCUGUGAUGAGUAUAAAGUGCCCUUCUCCAUCUCUUUUGAUUGAUUUUAGUUUGAAAUCUAUUUUGUUAGAUAUUUGAAAUUCUACACCCACUAGUUUUUUAGGUCUAUUUGAUUGGAAAAAUCUUUUCCCUACUUGCUUUGAGGAAAUGUCUGUCUUUAAGGUUGAGAUAUAUUCCCUGUAUGCAGCAGAAGGAUGGAUCUUGCUUUUAUAGCCAUUCUCUUAGCCUGUGUCCUUUUAUAGGUGAAUUGAGUCCAUUGAUAUUAACCGACAUUAAUGACCAGUGAUUGUUAAUUCUUGCUAUUUUUUUUUUUUUGGUGGUAGUGUUUGUGUGUUUCCCUUCUUUGGAAUUUGCUGGUGUGAGGCUAUUUGUUGCCUUUGUUUUUGUGGGUGCAGUUAGCUUCCUUGGGUUGGAGCAUUCCUUCUAGUGCUUAUUGAAGGACUGGGUUUGUGGAUAGUUAUUGUUUAAAUCUGGUUUAUGAUGUGGGAGUGAUUUCUUACUAAUAAAGAAACUGCCUCGGCCCUCAUAGGACAGAAAAUUAGGUAGGCGGAGUAGACAGAAGAGAAUUCUGGGAAAAAGAAACUGAGAGAGAGUCGCCAUGAUUCUCCCGCUCCAGACAGAUGCAGGUUAAGAUCCUCUCUGUCUCCGUUGAUCUGAGGUACUGAUCCUUGCCAUGGCUUCGCCUAUGUCAACAGUACGCAUUCACUCAGGACUUCCUCAGUUCUUGACAGGAGUGAAACACUGGAUGGAACCUGGAGAGAAUUCAAGAGAAUCAAGCUCUUAUCUUCUGGAUGUGAUUCUCGAACUCUGGUCCAGGAUUAUAUGAGCCCCUGAUGCCAUUCUGGGAUUUGUGAGAUUGACACCGUGUUCAAAUCUUAUCUCCCAACGGUGCAGGAGUUUUGCAGAUAGUACAUGAUAGACGGGAAUUCUGUGAUUCUGAUGCUAUCAUACGAAUCACCUUGUGAACAAAGUGACAAAGCAGAUUUUGGAAGUCAAGUUCCAGAGUCCAAUCUCAGCUCUGUGACUGCAUCUUUUGAUGCCCCACUGUGCAGCUGUCUCUGAGAUCAUUGCUAAAGCAAGAGUGUGAAGAAUGGGGCAGUCACCCAGGGGAUGGACGUCCCAAGUGGAUUAUGUUUGUAUGUGCAACGGCCUGUGCCGUUUCCUUAUUAGUAGGUGACAUGCUGAAAAGACAAUGAAGCAUUUUUCUUGUUAGGGCCUCUGUGGCCAUUGAGUGAGAUGCGCAUUGGACACGUUUGUCAAUAACACAGUAACAACGUUGCAGGCUAGGGAGCAAAGAAGUGGUCCAGAUGCACUGGAAUGUCCCAUGGCAACUGGGCCUUGGAGACUGGUCUAGUGCAGAGUCUGGAUAAUGGAUGAGACUACUAAGUCUGAGUAGCAAUGGGAGUCAGAACAGUAGGCUUACAUAGCACGUAUAUCCUUAGGCCUCACUCAGAAUCUGUAAAAAUAAAAUUGAUGCUGAACACAAAGGCAAACUGAUCACAGAAUCCCUUGACUCAUGCUGUUAUAAAGGAAUAACAGACUGGACUCCAUAUGUAGAAUGAAAGUUGACUUGGCUCCUGGUUACAGAGACUGAGAAGAACAAGAUCACGGGACGUGUGUCUAGCAAGGAACUUUGCCUUACUUCCUAACAUGGUGGAAGCAAGCACUGAAGGAAAGGAGAGAGAGACAAUCACCAAGCUCACCCCUUUAACAGGGAAUCCUGUUCCACAACUGUCAUAAGCUGUUCAUUGCAAUGACACUUCUAUCACAUCAUAGCUUGGUAAGAGUUUCCAUUCUUGCUGUGGGCCAAUGGUCUUUUAUCCUGUCACUUGGAUUAUUUUUAAUAAAAUGCUGAUUGGCCAGUAUCCAUGCAGGAAGUAUAGGCAGGGCAACCAGGCAGGAAGUAGAGGUGGGUGAUAAGAAUUCUGGGAAGAAGGAAGUUUCAGUUUGCGAUCGUCAUCCAGACACAGAGAAAGCAAGAUGUGACUACCUUGUCAAAAAAAAAAAAAAAAAAAAAAAAAAAAAAAAAAGUACCAAGCCACAUGGCUAAGACAGACCAGACAAGAAUUAUGGGCUAAUAUAAGUUAUCAGAGUUAAUAAGAAGCCUGAGAUACUAGGCCAACCAGUUUAUAAUUCAUGUAGACCUCUGUGUGAUUUCUUUGGGACUUAACGACUGUGGAACCGGGCGGGAUAGAAAUCUCAGUCAAUACAUUCUCAAGAUUCUUAAAACUGCAAUUAAGGGGCUGGAGAGAUGGCUCAGAGGUUAAGAGCAUUGCCUGUUCUUCCAAAGAUCCUGAGUUCAAUUCCCAGCAACCAGAUGGUAGCUCACAACCAUCUGUAAUGGGGUCUGGUGCCCUCUUCUGGCCUUCAGGCAUACACACAAGAAACAAUAUUGUAUACAUAAUAAAUAAAUAAAUAAAUAUUUUUUAAAAAAACUGCAAUUAAGUCUCAGUGUGAAUGUCGAAGGAGAAGCUCAGACCAUGACAGACAACCAUAUCCCAGGAUAUGUGGGAAGCUUCACAGUCUGUGUUUUAGUAAAGCUGAGUCAUCUAUCAUGGUAAAUGUCUUGUUCAAUUGCCUUGGCUUUAUGGUUCUCUGUGCAUUUCAUUUAUGAAUCUGCUUAAAAUUCUAGUUAAAAAGAUGUGUAAGUAUGAAUAUUUUAGACCUAAUUUAUAACCAUAUGUAUUUAAACAGCAAGAGUAACUUAAGUCAAUGUCAUGUCCUUUGAAAAUUCAUUUUAUUAAUAUGUUCUUAUAUAUGAAUGUGUUAUCACUUGCUUCUCUAAGCGUUAUUCCUAAAUAA